AAGCCGGGGGCCAUGAAGAAGAAAAAAUGGAAGCGCGUGCCUCGAAUGCAAGUCGAACGGUUAAGACUUCCUUCGGGAAGUGCAUAAAGUGGCGCACGGGUGAGUAACACGUAAGUAAUCUACCCUCGAGUGGGGAAUAACGUUCGGAAACGGACGCUAAUACCGCAUAACGCAGCGGCACCGCAAGGUGACAGCUGUUAAAGGAGCAAUCCGCUUGAGGAGGAGCUUGCGGCAGAUUAGCUAGUUGGUAGGGUAAUGGCUUACCAAGGCUACGAUCUGUAUCCGGCCUAAGAGGACGGUCGGACACACUGACACUGAAUAACGGGUCAGACUCCUACGGGAGGCAGCAGUCGGGAAUUUUGGGCAAUGGGCGAAAGCCUGACCCAGCAACGCCGCGUGAUGGAUGAAGUAUUUCGGUAUGUAAACUUCGAAAGAAUAGGAAGAAUAAAUGACGGUACUAUUUAUAAGCUCCGGCUAACUACGUGCCAGCAGCCGCGGUAAUACGUAGGGAGCAAGCGUUGUUCGGAUUUACUGGGCGUAAAGGGCGCGUAGGCGGCGCGGUAAGUCACGAUGUGAAAUCUCUGAGCUUAACUCAGAACGGCCAAGUGAUACUGCAGUGCUAGAGUGCAGAAAGGGCAAUCGGAAUUCUUGGUGUAGCGGUGAAAUGCGUAGAUAUCAAGAGGAACACCUGAGGCGAAGGCGGGUUGCUAGGCUGACACUGACGCUGAGGCGCGAAAGCCAGGGGAGCAAACGGGAUUAGAUACCCCGGUAGUCCUGGCCCUAAACGA
rnacentral:rRNA from 1 species